UGCAGCGGCGACCUGGUAUUUGACGAUUAGGGCUCGCCCUUCCACUCUCUUCUUCCCGAACACGGAUUUGAGGCCGAGACACCAAGUUUGGAGGGGGAACGACAACUAGCGGUCGCCGGACUUACAGAAACGGCGGAGGAUUCGAUCUCAGGGAAAGCUAGGGCUCCUCCUCUCAGUCGAGUUUGAGAGGUAAAUCGAGAGAGAGGAGAUGAGGGAGCAGACCGACGUCGGGGUUCUGAGCAACGCUGGCCUCGCCGGCGGCUGGAAUGGUCAGAGUACGGAGCGGCGACGGCAGAUCUGCGGGAGACAGAUCGGGUGAGAAAUUGAGAGAGGGAAGUAGAUGGAGAGAGAGAGAAAUGGACCAGGGGCGAUGUCCUCGGCUGGCCGUCGUUCUCGCCGGAGCCGUUCGCGGCGGAGCUCGCGUAGAGCGGGCGAGAGAGAGAGAGAUGUCUUGAGCGGCGACUGUUUGAAAAAGAAUAGAUAGAGAAAGGCGUGAAUUGCUUGAGAGAGAGUAGAGCGUGUU
rnacentral:lncRNA from 1 species